rnacentral:rRNA from 1 species
UACGUAGGGUGCGAGCGUUAAUCGGAAUUACUGGGCGUAAAGCGCGCGUAGGCGGUUUGAUAAGUCGGAUGUGAAAGCCCCGGGCUUAACCUGGGAAUUGCAUUCGAUACUGUCAGGCUCGAGUCUAGGAGAGGGAAGCGGAAUUCCGGGUGUAGCGGUGAAAUGCGUAGAUAUCCGGAGGAACAUCAGUGGCGAAGGCGGCUUCCUGGCCUAAGACUGACGCUGAGGUGCGAAAGCGUGGGGAGCAAACAGG